GGGGAUGUAGCUCAGUUGGUAGAGCGCUGGCCUAGCAUGCCCAAAGCCCUAGGUUCAAUCCCCAGCACCCCCC